rnacentral:rRNA from 1 species
AGAUUGAACGCUGGCGGCAUGCUUUACACAUGCAAGUCGAACGGUAACAGGCCGCAAGGUGCUGACGAGUGGCGAACGGGUGAGUAAUGCAUCGGAACGUGCCCAGUCGUGGGGGAUAACGCAGCGAAAGCUGUGCUAAUACCGCAUACGAUCUAUGGAUGAAAGCGGGGGACCGAAAGGCCUCGCGCGAUUGGAGCGGCCGAUGUCAGAUUAGCUAGUUGGUGGGGUAAAGGCCCACCAAGGCGACGAUCUGUAGCUGGUCUGAGAGGACGACCAGCCACACUGGAACUGAGACACGGUCCAGACUCCUACGGGAGGCAGCAGUGGGGAAUUUUGGACAAUGGGCGCAAGCCUGAUCCAGCAAUGCCGCGUGCAGGAAGAAGGCCUCGGUUGUAAACUAGCUUUGUUACGGAACGAAACGGUACUGGUUAAGUACCUUAGGCGUAAUAGACGGUACCGUAAGAAAGUAAAGACGACCGACGUAACUAACGUACGUCCACGCGACGCCGA